rnacentral:rRNA from 1 species
GUGGGGAAUAUUGGACAAUGGGGGGAACCCUGAUCCAGCCAUGCCGCGUGUGUGAAGAAGGCCUUUUGGUUGUAAAGCACUUUAAGCGAGGAGGAGGCUACCGAGAUUAAUACUCUUGGAUAGUGGACGUUACUCGCAGAAUAAGCACCGGCUAACUCUGUGCCAGCAGCCGCGGUAAUACAGAGGGUGCAAGCGUUAAUCGGAUUUACUGGGCGUAAAGCGCGCGUAGGUGGCCAAUUAAGUCAAAUGUGAAAUCCCCGAGCUUAACUUGGGAAUUGGAUUCGAGACUGGUUGGCUAGAGUAUGGGAGAGGAUGGUAGAAUUCCAGGUGUAGCGGUGAAAUGCGUAGAGAUCUGGAGGAAUACCGAUGGCGAAGGCAGCCAUCUGGCCUAAUACUGACACUGAGGUGCGAAAGCAUGGGGAGCAAACAGGAUUAGAAACCCGGGUAGUCC